CUUAAUUGACAUCUUGCUGGGGAAGAGAGGGAGAUGGGGUGGUGAGAGAGGAAGCAGAUGAAACAAAGGAAAACGUAGCUUGCCUGAAAUUGUGUAAUUUUUUUUCCUCUUGAUUGUAUAAGGCAUUUUGAACUGGAAAAACGUCUUUCCUACACACUCUUCCAAAUAAUCACAGGGAAUAUAAUUGCUGAUUCAGAAUACAAAUAAGACCUCUUUCAUCUUUCUCCCCACUCCCCCGC
rnacentral:lncRNA from 1 species